rnacentral:rRNA from 1 species
GAUGAACGCUGGCGGCGUGCCUAAUACAUGCAAGUCGAGCGAACGGACGAGAAGCUUGCUUCUCUGAUGUUAGCGGCGGACGGGUGAGUAACACGUGGAUAACCUACCUAUAAGACUGGGAUAACUUCGGGAAACCGGAGCUAAUACCGGAUAAUAUUUUGAACCGCAUGGUUCAAAAGUGAAAGACGGUCUUGCUGUCACUUAUAGAUGGAUCCGCGCUGCAUUAGCUAGUUGGUAAGGUAACGGCUUACCAAGGCAACGAUGCAUAGCCGACCUGAGAGGGUGAUCGGCCACACUGGAACUGAGACACGGUCCAGACUCCUACGGGAGGCAGCAGUAGGGAAUCUUCCGCAAUGGGCGAAAGCCUGACGGAGCAACGCCGCGUGAGUGAUGAAGGUCUUCGGAUCGUAAAACGCUGUUAUAAGGGAAGAACAUAUGUGUAAGUAACUGUGCACAUCUUGACGGUACCUAAGCAGAAAGCCACGGCUAACUACGUG